AAUGAACGCUGGCGGCAGGCCUAACACAUGCAAGUCGAACGAAGCCUUCGGGCUUAGUGGCGGACGGGUGAGUAACGCGUGGGAACGUGCCCUUUGCUUCGGAAUAGCCUCGGGAAACUGGGAGUAAUACCGAAUGUGCCCUACGGGGGAAAGAUUUAUCGGCAAAGGAUCGGCCCGCGUUGGAUUAGGUAGUUGGUGGGGUAAUGGCCUACCAAGCCUACGAUCCAUAGCUGGUUUUAGAGGAUGAUCAGCCACACUGGGACUGAGACACGGCCCAGACUCCUACGGGAGGCAGCAGUGGGGAAUCUUAGACAAUGGGCGCAAGCCUGAUCUAGCCAUGCCGCGUGAUCGAUGAAGGCCUUAGGGUUGUAAAGAUCUUUCAGCUGGGAAGAUAAUGACUGUACCAGCAGAAGAAGCCCCGGCUAACUCCGUGCCAGCCGCCGCCGUAACAC
rnacentral:rRNA from 1 species